UGUCAUGGCGGCUGUGCGCGGGAGGCCUUCGGGUCUGCCGGGUGCCUAUCUUCCCGGUUUCCAGCCUGCGUACAGCUGCCACCCUU
rfam:Pseudomonas fuscovaginae strain IRRI 6609 Pf_IRRI_6609_contig_2.2, whole genome shotgun sequence.